UCAGAUUCCAGGUCAGAAACUCAGUCUUCCAGCGUCUGACACGUAUCUUAUUAAUGAAACGCAACGUUCUGUUUUCUUUUUGGUUUCGUACUGGCUUUAUUUUGGUUCGGUGUUGUGAUAUGUUUUGAGGCCCAGUGACCACAAACCCUAAUCCGUGUGGUUGAUUGUGUUCUUCGUUUCUCUUUGAUCCGCGGAGACGGUGACGAUCUGUUUUAUGUAACGGAAAGAUCUUCAAUCGCGUUGUUCCAUCAGCGACAUCUUUAUAAAUAGGUCCGGGACGUGCUCAUCCGAGGCGAGACUGUUCCGAUUCUGAGAGACUAUGAAUGUAAAACUUGGUGGGGAGCUUAUGUGGAUGGAUUUUAUCAUGGUGGAUGUUAACGUGAACUCUAACCUGUUUAUGAAUUCUGAUAGUGUUUCCGGGUUCUUUGCAGGAUUUGUUAUCCACCGUACGAGUAGUUGUGUUGCUGAAGUCAACCUGAUGUUCUGUUUCGUCCCUGUUUUGUCUUCUCUUUGGGUAUCUUCUGAUAUCUUUAGACAUCAGUUGUCUACCAUUUAUAAACCCAGCUUUAUAAAAAAGAAGAAAUCAACCUGAUGAAUCCUUUGUUAAGUUUUUGCUUGCGUUGUGUGAGAUUCUUCAAACGCUUUCAUUUACAGAUUCAUCACAUUUAACCUCUUCUUAACUCCAACAACAUGAUCUAGCCAUCAAUGUGAGCUUCUUUCUUGCGAGGCGGUUUACCUUUGAUUAUAAAAUGUCCGUUAGAUGUUCUCCACUGUUGAGGUUAGGUUUUUGCGAUCCUGGGAGGCAAGGAUUGGCAGGUGCAGUGUUGAUGGAGUUAAGAAGAGGCCAAUCACCAAAAAGUUCGAGAGAAGCCACUUCUAUCUGUUUUAGUAUUUUUCCAUGCAGCCCGGAACAUUGUGCUUCUUGCUGUUCCAGCCCUGUUUUUCACGGUGCUGUUGCUGUAGCCAGUGUGGCUGCAUCUGUGUGUUGCUGCAAUCGCAGCCUUCACCACCACGUCUUCAAUCUCUAGAAGGGAUGAGUAGAUGGCUAAAACUGACAUGGUCGUUCCUUCCGCUUCGACCCUUGCGGAUGCUCAGUGUAUGGAGGCUGUGGAAGUGAUUAGAGAUGAGAGAGGGAAUUUGGCCUCUGUUGUCAGCGACAGUGUAGCCAUCAAUGUACUUCUACCGGAGAUAUCUGACACUCACUGCCAGUGAAGCCACAAGUUUAGUAGCUUCAAAAAUCUGUAUUUUGGUUAUCUUAGGUAUUUGAAAGAUUGAUUCUGAUGAAGAAACUCAAUUAUUUUGAUAAUCUCCAUUAUCGUCCGAAACGUAAAAAGUUCA